rnacentral:miRNA from 1 species
GGUGUGGCCUUCUUGGAGGAAGUGUGUCACUGGGGGUGGGCUUUGAGGUUCCAGAUGCUCAAGCCAAGCCCAGUGUCACUCUCUCUUCCUGUUGCCUGCCGAUC